rnacentral:rRNA from 1 species
AUUGAACGCUGGCGGAAUGCUUUACACAUGCAAGUCGAACGGCAGCACGGACUUCGGUCUGGUGGCGAGUGGCGAACGGGUGAGUAAUACAUCGGAACGUGCCCAGUCGUGGGGGAUAACGUAGCGAAAGCUACGCUAAUACCGCAUACGAUCUAAGGAUGAAAGCGGGGGAUCGCAAGACCUCGCGCGAUUGGAGCGGCCGAUGGCAGAUUAAGUAGUUGGUGGGGUAAAGGCUCACCAAGCCGACGAUCUGUAGCUGGUCUGAGAGGACGACCAGCCACACUGGGACUGAGAAACGGCCCAGACUCCUACGGGAGGCAGCAGUGGGGAAUUUUGGACAAUGGGCGCAAGCCUGAUCCAGCCAUUCCGCGUGCAGGAUGAAGGCCCUCGGGUUGUAAACUGCUUUUGUACGGAACGAAAAGGCUCUGGUUAAUACCUGGGGCUCAUGACGGUACCGUAAGAAUAAGCACCGGCUAACUACGUGCCAGCCGCCGCCGUAA